AUUGAACGCUGGCGGCAUGCCUAACACAUGCAAGUCGAGCGGAUGAACGAGGCUUUCUCCUCUAUUCAGCUGCGGACGGGUGGGUGAGUCCUACGAAUCUACCUUAUCUUUAGGAAUAAGAUCCGUUAGGGAACCCUAAUCCCACAUACGUCCUUAUAUUGAAAGUCAUGGUUCAUUGGAGCACGCGCUUUUUGCUGUGCCUAGUACGUAUUAGCUAGUUGGUUGGGUAAAGGCGUACCAAGGCGACGAUCCGUAACUGGCCUGAGAGGAUGAUCAGCCACACUGGAACUGAGACACGGUCCAGACUCCUACGGGAGGCAGCAGUGGGGAAUAUUGGGCAAUGGGCGAAAGCCUGACCGAGCAACGCCGCGUGUGUGAAGAAGGUCUUCGGAUUGUAAAGCACUUUUAGUUGGGAAGAAGGAAAGUAUGUUAAUCUCUUGACGUCUUGACGGUACCAAAAGAAAAAGCAACGGCUAACUACGUG
rnacentral:rRNA from 1 species